GACGAACGCUGGCGGCGUGCUUAACACAUGCAAGUCGAACGGAAAGGCCCUGCUUUUGUGGGGUGCUCGAGUGGCGAACGGGUGAGUAACACUUGAGUUACCUGCCCUUGACUUUGGGAUAACUUCAGGAAACUUGGGCUAAUACCGGAUAGGAUCUCCUGCUGCUUGGUGGUGGUUGGUAAGUUUCGGCGGUUGGGGAUGGACUCGCGGCUUAUCAGCUUGUUGGUGGGGUAGUGUCUUACCAAGGUUUUGACGGGUAGCCGGCCUGAGAGGGUGACCGGCCACAUUGGGACUGAGAUACGGCCCAGACUACUACGGGAGGCAGCAGUGGGGAAUAUUGCACAAUGGGCGGAAGCAUGAUGCAGCAAAGCAGCGUGCGGGAUGACGGCCUUCGGGUUGUAAACCGCUUUCGCCUGUGACGAAGCGAGAGUGACGGUAAUGGGUAAAGAAGCACCGGCUAACUACGUG
rnacentral:rRNA from 1 species